UUUAAAAAAAGGUAGAACAAAACAUAUUUAUUAUAAAGGUUACAAUGAUUCCGUUUCCAUAAUAAAAGCAAAGUAUUACAGUAUAAAAUGAUAUUGGCAUGAGAUGUAUGUGCUUUAGAGAAAGUAAAGAACAUGAAAAUUGUACUAUAAUAUACAAUUGAACAUUUGUAAGAUAUCAAUGCUCAGAAACGUAAUAUUGCUUUAAAUGAGAGAGGUUGAGGGUGAUACAUACAACCAAUAAUAUAACAAGGCAACGUACACAGUUGUCCCCACAAUGAUGCAGCGCAGGAGACCCGCUUGUUCAAAGUUUGGAAUUUCAGUUGAUUACUUAGGCGCCUAUCAGUGUAGUUUCUUGGCGCCUAUCAGUGUAGUUUCUGGCGCCUAUCAGUGUAGAUUUUGGGGCCUAUCAUGUGUAGAUUUGGGGCCUAUCGUGUAGAUUUUGGGGCCUAUCAGUGUAGAUUUUGGGGCCUAUCAGUGUAGAUUUUGGGGCCUAUCAGUUUGUAGAUUUUGGGCCUAUCCGUGUAGAUUUUGGGGCCUUAUCAGUGUAGAUUUUGGGGGCCUAUCAGUGUAGAUUUUGGGGCCUAUCAGUGUAGAUUUUGGGGCCUAUCCGUGUAGAUUUUGGGGCCUAUCCGUGUAGAUUUUGGGGCCUAUCAGUGUAGAUUUUGGGGCCUAUCAGUGUAGAUUUUGGGGCCUAUCAGUGUCGUUAUUUAAAUGCCGGAUCUCUAUGGCAAGACGCAUCACUCAAGUUUCAUCAAAUUGGGGCGUGAUAUUACGCGUGACUAAUGUACGAACGGACAGAGACAGAUCCAGCCCCCCUCGAUUUCAUCGUGGGGGAAACAAUAAAAGCCAAAUAAAAAGGACAGAGCCCUCCACACAACCUCUCCAAUCAAGCCCUCCCACAACCUCUCAGCAGAGCCCUCCACAGAACCCCCAAUCAGAGCCCCUCCAACAACCUCUCCCGAUCAGAGCCUCCACACAACCUCUCCGAUCAGAGCCCUCCACACAACCCUCUCCGAUCAGAGCCCUCCACACAACCUCUCGAUCAAGCCCUCCACACAACCUCUCUCGACAGAGCCCUCCACACAACCUCUCCCCCCCGAUCAGAGCCCUCCACACAACCUCUCCGAUCAGAGCCCUCCACACAACCUCUCGAUCAGAGCCCUCCAACACAACCUCUCUCCGAUCAGAGCCCUCCACACAAGCCCUUCCGAUCAGAGCCCUCCACACAACCCUCUCCGAUCAGAGCCCUCCACACAACUCUCCAAUCAGAGCCCUCCACACAACCUCUCCAAUCAGAGCCCUCCACACAAGCUCUCCAAUCAGAGCCCUCCACACAAGCCUCUCCAAUCAGAGCCCUCCAGACAACCUCUUCCAAUCAGAGCCCUCCACACAACAUCUCCAAUCAGAGCCCUCCACACAAGGCUCUCCGAUCAGAGCCCUCCACACAAGCUCUCCGAUCAGAGCCCUCCACACAACCUCUCCAAUCAGAGCCCUCCACACAACCUCUCCAUCAGAGCCCUCCACACAACCUCUCCAAUCAGAGCCCUCCACACAACCUCUCCAAUCAGAGCCCUCCACACAACCUCUCCAAUCAGAGCCCUCCACACAACCUCUCCAAUCAGAGCCCUCCACACAACCUCUCCAAUCAGUCUUGCGAGAAAGUAAGUUCUGUCGAUGAGUAAGUUCUGUCUCGUAUGACUGUUGGGUGUAUUACUAACCACCAUCAAAAAAGGCUACAGAAAACAUAUAGUCCCCCACGAACGAUGCAGGGCCCCACCUUGGGCCAAUCAGUUUUAUUUUUAUAAAUGCCGCAUCUCUAUGGCAAGACGCAUCAUUCCCCCAAGUUUCGUCAAAAUCGGGACAGUGGUGUCUGAGAUAUAGCGUGGGUUAGAUACUCAUUUCCCUUAGUACGUGUGCCAUGCCAAAUUUCUGCACUCCGAGUGAAACAGAUCAAGAGAUAUAAACAUGUGCCUGUUAUAGCGCCACCGUGUGGUCGAUACUGAAUGUUCUUGCAUAUGUUUCGUCUUGACAGUGUUUGCAACAUGUGUACCAAAUUGAGUUUCAAUACGAAUAUCCUUGACUGAUUUACAUGCAUUUAUGUGCCAGACCACACCCACAUUGUUUAUUGGUCAAUAGCGUCCAUGUUGUUUUAGGUACUAGUCUGGAAAAUACUGUGUUAAGAGACUUUUGUCCAUAGAUGCUACAUACCAAGUUUCAUGCAGAUCGGUCAUUCGGUGCCAGACGCGAUGUCGUUUUAAGUGUGCUUCAUAAAAUUCAAAAUGGCGGAAAUUUCUUAAUGGCAGACCUUAUGGGUACCUGAGGCAAAUGUGUUUCUUGUGAGGAGAGGGACCGAAUGUACCGAAUUCCAUGACUUUAGGUCAACUGGGGUGAGGGGCGUGACCUUUCAAAGUUUUCAUUUAUAUUCUAUGUUAUAGCGCCACCAUCUGGCCAAUCAGUGUACAUUUUUAAAUGCCGGAUCUCUAUGGCAAGAUGCAUCAUUCACCCGAAUUUUCAUCAAAAUCGUGGCAGCGCUGUGUGAGAUAUCGCGUGUGACUAAAGUACGAACGUACAGACGGAGACAGAUCCACAGUGCCCUCGCAGAUUUAAUCUUGGGGGACAAUAGUCCUUAACUUGGCUGGCCAACUGUGUGGUGAAUUAACCAUAGGCAUUACAACAUACAAGAAACAACUAUGGGGUUAAAGUAAGCUAGCUUUGUCCUGCUGCUGAUGAAAAGUCUUCGCAGAAAACCAAACUGAACGAUGCGUCCCAAAAUGGGACCAUACUCCUUAUAUAGUGCACUACUUUUGACCAGAGCCUGGGCACUAUAUAGGAAUAGGGUGCCACUUGGGACGCACCCUUUAAUUAGCCUACUACACCAAGUGAAGUGACCCAUUGUCAAAUCAAACAGCUGAGAGCUUUUGUAAGAAUCAAUAUUUUUUUUUAAAAGGUUGGAUUCUGAAUUAUUUAUGAAUGUCAAAAGAUGAAAAUAAGAUCCACGGCAACAGAGGACAGCUGAUUGAACCACAGUGAGGACAGCUGAUUGAACCACAGUGAGGACAGCUGAAUGAACCACAGUGAGGACAGCUGAAUGAACCACGGUGAGGACAGCUAAAUGAACCACAGUGAGGACAGCUGAAUGAACCACGGUGAGGACAGCUAAAUGAACCACGGUGAGGACAGCUGAAUGAACCACAGUGAGGACAGCUAAAUGAACCACGGUGAGGACAGCUGAAUGAACCACAGUGAGGACAGCUAAAUGAACUCCAGAAUGAGGACAAGCUUAACUGAACCACGGUGGACAGCUAGCUAAAUGACAUCACAUUGAGGACAGCUAAAUGAACCACAGUGAGGAGUAAAGAACCACAGUGAGGACAGCUAAAUGAAACACGUGAGGACAGCUAAAUGAACCACGGUGGGACAGUAUGAAUCACAGUGAGGACAGUACUGAAAUGAAACACACGGUGAGCGACAGCUAAAUGAACCACGGUUGAGGACAGCUAAAUGAACCACAGUGAGGACAGCUAAAUGAAACCACGGUGAGGACAGCUAAUGAACCACAGUGGGACAGCUAUGAACACAGGGAGGACAGUAAAUGACCCAGAUGAGGACAGCUAAAUGAACCACCAGUGAGGACAGCUAAAUGAACCACAGUGAGGACAGUGAAUGAAACCACGUGAGGACGCUAAAUGACAUCAAUGAGACAGCUAAAUGAACCAUGUGAGACCAGCUAAAUGA
rnacentral:lncRNA from 1 species